UACGUAGGUGGCAAGCGUUGUCCGGAAUUAUUGGGCGUAAAGCGCGCGCAGGCGGUCCUUUAAGUCUGAUGUGAAAGCCCACGGCUCAACCGUGGAGGGUCAUUGGAAACUGGGGGACUUGAGUGCAGAAGAGGAAAGUGGAAUUCCAAGUGUAGCGGUGAAAUGCGUAGAGAUUUGGAGGAACACCAGUGGCGAAGGCGGAUCUCUGGGCCGACACUGACGCUGAGGAGCGAAAGCCAGGGGAGCAAACGGG
rnacentral:rRNA from 1 species